rnacentral:rRNA from 1 species
AGGAAGGUAGUGUAGUUAACACCUGCAUUAUUUGACGUUACCUACAGAAGAAGCACCGGCUAACUCCGUGCCAGCAGCCGCGGUAAUACGGAGGGUGCGAGCGUUAAUCGGAAUUACUGGGCGUAAAGCGCAUGCAGGCGGCCUGUUAAGUCAGAUGUGAAAGACCCGGGGCGUUAACCUCGGAAUUGCAUUUGAAACUAGGCAGGCUAGAGUCUUGUAGAGGGGGGUAGGAAGUUUCAGGUGUAGCGGUGAAAUAGCGUAGAGAUCUGAAGGAAUACCAGUGGCGAAGGCGGCCCCCUCGGACAAAGACUGACGCUCAGAUGCGAAAGCGUGGGGAGCAAACAGGAUUAGAUACCCUGGUAG